UAUAAUGGCUCGCAUGUUAAACAGAACGAUUCGUUGCAGAAAAAAAAAAAAAAAAAAACAGGCAGUCUACAGAAACAAACUAAUUUCAUUUCUCAAAUUCUCGUUUAUUUGUUAUUCUAAAGCGAAAAAGUUUUUUUUAGAAUGAAUAUUUUUCUGAGGAAAGCGAGACUUGUGAGAUCGUGGCGAUGUUCCUGGAUGUUCUCGUUAAUAACUUUUCGAAAUGAUCGGUAGAUUUUCACGAAAUUUCGUAGACGUGUCCAGACGUUAAAGAUGAUGACACAUCUUUUAACCGUACAGCUUCAUCCACUUAAAAAAUCGCGAACGUUCAAACUUUUCAGGUUUCACUUAAUACACGUGAACACGAAUGCAGGAUUAGACUAUCUGAAAUGGUCCCACUUCAAAUCCUCCUUCAGAUAGAUAGCAGUUUUAAUCGCACGUCUUUAAUCACUCCAAAAUGGCUGACACGUUUAGAAAGUGGGCAAUUAAUUCUUUCCAAAAUUGCUCAUUAUGAGCAGCAAUCCUUUACUUAACAUAUAAGCAUCGUUCUGCACGUUACGCUACCUUGUCAUAAUUUAUUUAUAUUUUUUUUCUUCUUUUCACAGCAAUUUUUUUUUUUUCUGUUUCCGUUUACUCUUUCCCUCAAGAAGUGUUUUAGGCCACAACUUUUUUUUAUUUUUCUGAGACGAACUGGAUUUUUAAAGCACUCGUGGGCCGUACUUACGUCCCAGCGAAAGGUUUUCAUGUACAAUAAAUACUUAGAAUCAUUGCACUCGGCGGUGCAAUUGUUGCCGCCGGUUAAAACUACGAAUAAAAUUCAUAAAAAGAAGAGAAACUGCAACUUUAUAAAAACUCAUUUCAGUCCCAAUAAACGAUCGUUUUAGAAGACAAAACGCUAAGAUUUUAAGUGGCCAGUUUGCAGUAAUAUGAUUUUUUUUUUGUUUUCUUUGGAUAUUCGAGAAUCUGUAUAAAUAAUUGAAAAAAUUACUAAGAAGGAAUCAUUUUCGAUUAAUUAAUUACGUAUAUCUUCAACUGCUUUUUUUGCCUUUCCCUAGAAGUACUGCAACUACACUCUUUACGCAACUGCCUCCGAACAAUAUUAGGGAGUCAAUUAAUGUUGGGUGGAUGGUACAUAACUGAGUUUACCAAGAAAAUAAAAUAUUUCGCCCGGAGAAGUUGGCAAGAAUCCAUCCGAGGCCGCUGGCCUUUAGUGAUUGCAGUGUUCUAUGUUCUUCUCUCUCUCUCUCUCUCAUCCCUAACCCAUAGGCAAGACUGUGUCACCUUAAGGGAAGCAGUCAUCCCAAGGUCACCUUGCUAACCUGGAGCCUGGGGAUAAACCGGUUUCUCUCAACGUUCAAACCUGUCUGAACUGUUCUUGGCCCCAUUUGACUUACUACUAGACAUCUUGGUAGAAGUAAAGUUCAUUUUAUGCCAUCUGUCAACCAUGACUAACUUUUGAUUGUAUAUUUUUACUGUUUAAAAUUGAUCACUUCGCUUUUAAAAUCCCACACAAACGGAAUUACACUUUAUGGAUUGAUGAUGAAUCUACGUCGAACGUUUUCGCAUUUUUAUCUCCUUUUUUUUUUCUUUCUUUUCCUCCCCUUUUCGCACCAAAAAAUCUGCCUUUCUUUAC
rnacentral:lncRNA from 1 species